UCCAGGGUGCUCCAAGGUGGCCCCAGGGUCCAUCCAAGGUUCUCCAAGGUGGCCCCGGGUCCAUCCAAGGUUCUCCAAGGUGGCCCCAGGGUCCAUCCAAGGUUCUCCAAGGUCCACCCAAGGUUCUCCAAGGUGGCCCCGGGUCCAUUCAGGGUUCUCCAAGGUGGUCCCAGGUCCAUCCAAGGUUCUCCAAGGUGGUUGAAGGUCCAUCCAAGGUUCUCCAAAGUCUAUCCCAGGAGAUCCAAGGUGGCCCCAGGUCCACCCAAGGUUCUCCAAGGUGGCCCCGGGUCCAUCCAAGGCCACCAAGCUCCACCCCAGGAGCUCCAGAGGCCACCAGAAACCACCUGAGGCCACCAGAAGCUCCUCAGAGCCCUCCAGACCCCAAAAACCCCAAAAAUUCCCAAAAACACCCAAAAUUUCCUCAAAAAUCCUAAAAAAAUUCCCAAAAAUUCCCAAAAUUCCCCAAAAAAUUCCCAAAAAACCCCAAAAUUCACCCAAAAAUUCCCCAAAUUCUGCCCCCAAAGCACUUCCGGGGUGGGGGAGGGGCCUUGGACCUUCCCAGCCCCCAAAUUUGGGCUUUUCCCGCCAAAAAAAUUGGGGGAUUUUGGGAAAAUUUGGGGGGAAAAUUUGAAAUUUUUGGGAAAAUUUUGGAAUUUUUGGGAAAUUUUGGAAUUUUGGGGGAAAAUUUUGGAAUUUUGGGGGGGAUUUUGGGGAUUUUGGGGGCGGCGCUGGAAUUUCCAAGGUACCACCGGGAGCUCCCGGCUCCUCCGAGCACUUUAAGACGCCCCCAGGAGAGAAAAAUCCCAAAAAUUUAAAAA